AAAAGUGAAUCAUGAAGACGACACUGAUCCUUGGUUUUCUCAAAGGCCAGAAACGCUCCAUUGGGAUGCAGCAGAGUACAAUCAACUCAUUUCCGCUGGGCCGUUGCUGCCACUACUGGAGCAGUAAUCAAGCAUCGGUUCUUAUGACCCAACCACACAGACGGGGAUACCAUGGCAAGUUCAGGCAAGGGCGCUAACGCUGACAGAUGUAUGGGCAACCAACUUCAAGUAGCCAAUGUGGCAAAUCAAGGGCCUUCAUGUAGCACGUGGCAAUAGGAGGCAACCAUGUACCUGCCAUCAACGUCGUACACAGGACACAGUUGCCAUGCCUGGACAGCUGCAUUUGCCAUGCCUGGACAGAUGCAGUUGCCAUGCAUGCAGAACUGCAUUGGCCAUGCCUGGACAACUGCAGUGCUAUGCCUGGGUUGCCAUGCCUAGACGACUGCAUUUGCCAUGCCUGGACAGAUGUAGUUGCCAUGGCAAAUCAAUUGUACUUGCCAUGUGUAACGCCCCGGAACCGAUGCGCC